AUGAAAAGUUCGCUAUUUGUUGCAUUUAUGAUAAAAUUUCGGCAGGAUUUUACCGAGUACAAAUUCUCCGAAAAGCCUGAAAACGUUACAUUUUUCUCUGUUGGUGCUGUUCUUGCUUCAUUAUGAAUUCAUUUUUACUCCCAUGAGAGUUCCGUGGAAUUUCCAUGGAAUUUGUGCUUUCGAGUUGUUUGUGCUGAAACGCAUUCUCUCGUAUAAUACCCCGUACACUUUGAAAUGGCGAUGCCACAAUUUACCCGCAGCAGACAGCUUUUAUGCAUGGUAUCAGAGUUCCUCCGUAGCAACAACAUAAACUUGUAAGUUCUUUGAAUGUUUGCAUGGCGAUAAAAUAUAAUUGUUUUUGUUUGUGGAAA